GUUAAUCACGCACGUGGAUCAUAAUGGCGGCCGAUUUGAACAGCGAUAAUUUCGGAUUUCUUGAAAUAACAUGGCAUUGCAUGCUCAGUCAAAUUUUCCCAAGUGAAGGAGGUGGCAAGCAAGCACGGUUGGACGUCCCGAAAUUUCUCGAUGUGUUUUAUCCUAACUGCAAGUAAAAGUUGAAACUAAACAAAAUUUGCAUUUUUCCUGCAAAAUAUGCCCACCGGGUGACGAGGAUGAUGCGGCCGCAGCAGCGACGGGGCAGAGUUGCUUCCACCGCACGCUGAAGGUCUUCUGCUGCUAAAAUUAAAAGUGACUGAAAAAGUGAAAUUAACUGAAAAGCGACCUAUUACCAAUCCAUAAGGAAUUUCCCAGGCCAGGAUCAGGGUCUGAUGAUACUGCUCCUUCAGCCGACAAUAAUUUCCCUUUUCUGGACUUUGAACUUGUGAUGGAAACAGAAAGUGAGGAAUGUGCUGCUCGAGAUGAUGAAGAGAACAUACAGAAUGGUUGAAGCAAGGAAGAUCUGAUGCAAGUCUGGUCCAGUGUGGUCCAAAUUGCAGUAGAACUAGAGAAUGGCUACAUAUUUAUGAGCACCAGGGAUCUUGAUAGAAUGAAUAGGAAAGAGACAGAAGAUGUGCAGUUCAUGAACUUUAAGAAGAGGAUUUCACAUGUUCCUGAUCAAAUUAUGCCCCACCUCUUCCCACACCUGGAUAUAGAUAGCUUUAACUACAGCAGAGUCUAUGUGGGCAGUCCAUCUGUGACCAACCAAUGCUGCCAGACACCGGCCCAAUUUUUUCCACACUGGUGGACCACUAAAAUAAAGAAAUACAUAGGAAAUUCAGUGUCGCAAAAUAUAUAUGAAAAAAUUCACAUGAUGCUAUAAAAACUUUAAUCAACCAAAUAGAUCUAUGGAAACAUACUACUGAGCAAGAUUUGUCAAUUUUCUUGCCUGAAUUUAUCGGCCCAACCUAUAAGGAUAAACGUCCCUGUGCAUGGGCGCUGCCAUUGAAUUUUGCUUACGACUUGCAGCUACUACUCUGCAGCAAUUCUGCAUAACGAGGAGUCGCAAAAAAAACCAACAAAAAAAACAGCAGGGCCCUGUUUCACAAAGAGUUAUGAUUGAUUAAAUCAGUUGUAAGUAUGGAAUUUAUCCAUUGAUCAGUGUCGUAAUUUUUUACAUGAAAAAUUUGCUCAAUGUCCUUUGUAUCAAGGAAGCUCCUUGUUUGUGUGCUUAGAGAAGCGCAGUGAAUUAUCCAGAAAACAAUGAAUGCAUGAAUAUACAUCAUAGCUAGAAAAUAUUUUGAA